CCUUGAGCCAGGGGUCUAUCGGAAACAGCCUUUCUACUUCUUUAGAGGUAGAGGUAUGGACUGCGUACAUCUUACCCCCCAGACCCCACUAGAUGGGAAUACACUGGGUUUGUUGUUGUUGUGUUGCAAAUGUUUUGACAGACUUUGUGUAAGAUGAGUGUCCAUUGAAAAAUCCUCUCCUUGUCUCUUAGAGUUACGGGUUAAGUUACGUGCACUCAAUACUGUUGUUUGAUAUACUAUUGAGUAUAAGAAGUAGUGGCAGAGUGCUCUAGCUUAACCAAUUUUUUGCAGGAUAUCUAUUGAAAGGAACAGGUAAAGCAUAGGUCCCACAUUAUAACACUGGGUUUGUUGUUGUUGUUGUGACACUUUAGUAUAUGAUAUUCAUUCAAAGGAAUAGGUAAAUCAUAGCGUAUGUGGCAGAUUUGGUUUGGUUGUUCUCUGAUGAAGUUUUUGUCUUUCCUUUUAAAUUUAGUGCUCUGGCAUUAAGACUACUUAGGUUCGCGACUAUGGUGGUUGUUUAUAAAGAGAUAUGAUGACUUAUAAAUACCAAUUUGGUAGUUUACCAUUCUAAAAAAUAAGAUAGGUAGGUAUGUAAAUCUAGCAAAUGGUAAAUUUUGACAAGCUAUAUGCCAUGUCUAGUGACAAGCUAUAUACCAUGUCUGGUGCAAAGCUUCCUCUCAUACAAGAUGUUUAUUUAGUCUCUAAAUAUGUGAUAAACUUAAAUAAAUAAACCAUGAAAAUAAAAUUUCAUGUGUACCCUCCAAAUUUUUUUAUUGUUCUUUUAUGUUUUUGCAUCAGCGAGAAAAUUUUUGUUGCAUUACAAAUUCAAAUAAAAAUUAUAAAAUAUUGUAUUGGAGACACUUGUUGAUCGUUAAUGAUAUUUUAAGGACAUUUGUUGCAUCAAAUGUUGAUCUCUUAUUCUGAUUGCUUCUUACUUAUUAUUGAUCCUUUACAUUUUCUUGAAUGCACAACCUGGUCAUUUUCAAGGGCACACAUUCGACAUUGUAUCGGUCUUCCAGGUGUCCAAAAUGGAGAAGGAGAUGAAGAAAGAAGUGAUGAAGAAAUUGACCUUACUUGAGAAUAUUUUUGAAUAGUUGAUAGAUGCUUUGAUUUUGAUCUUUUUGAUAUUUAACUUAGUGUAACUUAUCGCCACUCGAACAUGAUACUAUAUGGAAAAACUAAUGAUCAUUUGACUUUAACA